AGGAAUCCUUCGCUCUGCUCUAAGUGGGGCGACGAUCAAGAGCAUGUCUG
rnacentral:sRNA from 1 species